GGCUUAGGAGGAAUCCUGGGCUGCCGGCAUUCCUUGGCCCGGUGGUCAGAUUUCUGGCACUUGUAGCAAGCUCUUGGGGGAGGCAGGCCUGGAGGAACGCCUGGCCACUGUGGUUUAGGUGUUUGGAAGAAGUCCUUGUGUGCUGGAGAUGUGGUUGAGGUUUCUCUCACAGUGGAGGUAAGGAAUUGCAACUCAGAAAUAUGUUGCUACUUGGCUGCCUCUAUUCUGUUAUUGUACACCUUGAAGGUGAGGUUAGUUAAGUCCUGUUGUGGGGUUUGAGGGCUGGAAUUUAAUUUUUCUAGCUUUAUUUAAUGUUGGGUGCAGAUUGGGUAAUAAAAUAAAAUGUAUAUUGAGAAUAAGACGGCCUUUUGACCUUUCAGGGUCUAGGGCUGUAAAGCGUCUCAGGGUUGCUGCCAAAGGGGCCGUGAACUGGGCUGGGUUUUUCAUAUUUGAUGAAAGAGUCUAAACGCUAACUGAUUUGGGAGAGGUUGGAUAAAGAAAAAGGAGCAUCAACCUUGACUAUGCCUUUGGCUGCAGCCACUUUUUAAGAGGACAUUGCUGGGCAGGUGCAGGAAGAAAACUGUAAGCCGGACCGGGUGUGAGGAGGGGAGGUGAUAAAAGGAUUAUAGGGUGGAGGAGCGGAGGCUGAGGAAGAGUUGGGACCUAGCUUGACCUGGUGAUGAGGGGAGAGGUCAGAUGGGUCUGUAGAAAAGGAAGAUUAGAAAGACUCAGCAACACUUGGGGUUGGGACUGAGGGGACAGGCGAGAGGGAAAGAAGGAGGAUUUGGGACAAAUCGCAUUGGGGACAGAGACUAGGGAGGGACCGAGGUGUCAAAGAAUGCCUGGACAUCAGGCACCUCAGACUGUUUGCCUAUUUUACGAUAAGAAUUAUUUAGAUAUUGUAGGAUGUAGAAAUUGAAAGUGCCAUUUUCUGGCUAUUUGGAACCACUGUCAAAUUUGUAUUGGGGUCAAGCGGCAUUGCGGAAGAAAAUAAGGCAUUUAGGUUUUAGGUCAGGUGUGAAUUGAAGAGGUUUUAGGUUUUUAAGAACACAGGCUAAGGGAGAAGAAGGGGGAAUGGAGGGCAGAAGCUUGCCCAUAGUGAAGGAGGCAAGCCCAGAGAAAAGAGAGUAGAGACACGGAGAGAAGGGGUUGGGGGGUUCUUGCCCUCCAGAAAAGUGCAGAAGGGGUAGAGACACGAAGAGAAGGGGUCAGGGGAUUCUUGCCCUCCAGAAAAGUAGAGAAGGGGUAGAGAUACAGAGAGAAGGGGUCAGACACAAUUGGCAGGGAGGCACCAAAUUUCACUUGCGUCCGUGUGAAGAGACCACCAAACAGGCUUUGUGUGAGCAAUAAAGCUUUUUAAUCACCUGGGUGCAGGCGGGCUGAGUCCGAAAAGAGAGUCAGCGAAGGGAGAUAGGGAUGGAGCUGUUUUAUAGGGUUUGGGUAAGUAAAGGAAAAUUACAGUUAAAGGGGGAUGUUCUCAGGCGGGCAGGGUUGGGGGUCACAAGGUACUCAGUCGGGGAGGUUUUGAGCCAGGAUGAGUCAGGAAAAGGAAUUUCACAAGGUAAUGUCAUCAGUUAAGGCAGGAACUGGCCAUCUGGAUGUGUACAUGCAGUUCACAGGGGAUAUGAUGGCUCCACACAGGGAUGAGAGUUGCUGCUGCCCAGUCCAGAGCCACAGAGCCAAGGAGGGCCUGGCCUGCCCCAUGGCCCAUUACAGAAGAGUUCUUCUUGUUGGCAGAGACUGGGAUGAAAUUCCUUACCAUGAAGGACUGUAUUUUUUUUUUAACUUAAAUAUUCAUUGAGCAGCUUCUAUAUGCAAAUUAUGAAUAUGGAGAUUCAUAUCAUAUAUUGUCACUGCUUCAAAAAGCUCACAAUCUCUUUUCUUCCGCACAGAUUUCUGCAUCCUCUCAGUCAUGAUGAUAAAGGAUUUACUACCUCAGUCAUGUCACCACUCUUGAAUAUCAUUCCCAUGGCAUGGUGCAGUAGGAACUGGUUGACUUUUAAAACUAAGUUAUAAUAAUCUUAAAGCGAUUGGAAAUUGAGAAGAAUGUAAUGGAAAAUAUAUUUAUAUGGCUUGGUUAGCCAAAAUUCCCUCAUAAAGCACCAACCUGCAGGAUCCCUUAGCAAUUUACUGAAGAUGAAAAAUAAGCAGAACAACUUUUUAUAGGUCUGUAGUCACUAGAGAUUAAUUACAAACACUAGGUGUAUUUUAACCUAAUUCUUGGUUCCUGAAAAGCACUGCAGAUGACAGCAACAAAAGAUAAUACCUGCUUUUACCACGGGGGAAAAAAAUGGAUAACUG
rnacentral:lncRNA from 1 species